AUUGGAGUACUUAGUGACCUAGCCCAACACCUUUGCAUAUAGUAAUAGUUCCAUAAAUGUUCCUUCACUGGUAAGUAGACCAUGCCUACAAAUUAACUUCUUUGUAUUAUUUCCUAAUUUCAUUUGGCUCGGCCAUCUUUCCCCUAUCCCCUCUCUAUUCUUAGACCCAUAUUUCUUUGUUUUUGCUUACCUAAUUUUCUAUGAUGUUAUGACCCAGACUUUUCCAUGCUUCUUCCUGGGAAGAAGUUAUCUUUUCCCUGAGAUAUAAUGAGCCAUCCCAUAUCUGGAAAUGAAGCAAUCAAGGAGACCUUUGUUGGAGUGGAAAUUUAUGUUCUGCUUGAAGUGCAACAGACUCCUGAUCUGGACCCUUUCUUCUUCCUUCUAGCACCAGCCCUGAUAGUUUUACUACCUGAUUGCCUAAUCCUAAUGGCCCCAGAUUUCUCUCCUCAGAUUUUUGUCUUUCCUCACAUGGUGCAUCUCUUUCUCUUUCUCUGUAGGUUACAAUCAUUUGGCCGUGGCCCCCACCAAAAUGCCACCAGACCCAGCAGUAGCACCUGGUUGUCCCCUGUGGGCCACAGAGCCUGGAGGCUCCCAAGCUGCUAGUUUAAGCUUCCAGGCUUUCACCACCAUUCCCGAGGUGCUGUACACAGAAGAUAUACAUCUUUCUGGAUCUGACAAGUUCAACUUCACCAAAAGAACCCUGCAGCAGUGAGUCUGCCCAAUCCCUUCCUCAUACCCCAAAAAGUCUGCUUUGUUGUGAAUCUCCCCUUACCCUUGUAUUCUCAGGAAAUUCAUUCCUGUUUUGGGGGUAUGGUUUAGAACAAAUUUUCUAAGAUAAAUAUUCAAUCCAGUGGGGAUCUUGGUUUAAACUAAGCUCUCAUUUAUAGACAUAAUGGAAGCAAUUCAGGCAUACUUCAGGCAAACCAAAGGCCUUUCCCACAGCCUAAAGGCUAUUCAGUUUCUAUGUCUCUGUAUCUGGGGUUCCUGUCAUUAUUCUUGCUAUGUUUCUGUGUCACCAUCAACAUUUUUUUUCCCAGACCUUUGAAGAAUGGCUCAGAAACUGGAGUGAGUUGCCUGUACACACACAAGAGAAACCUCAGAAGCUCAUUCAGAGACCAAGAGAAGGUUUAUUGGGAUGCAAAAAGAGCAUUUCACUAAGCUGGGCUUUUCCUCCUCCCUUGAAAGAGACAGUCUACUCAAUGAUGAGGAGCACAACAGAAUCCCCAGCCUUUUCCUCUAUCCUCAUGCUACUUUCCCCUCCUCCUGCUAAAUUUCCAUUCUGAUUCUGACCUUAAUAUUCUUUCAAAGAAUCAUUAUUACUCAAUACCCUUUUAUUACACCAAACACAGAAAAUAAACCCUACCCCUAUCUACUUUCCUGUAUUUUC
rnacentral:lncRNA from 1 species